GGGUGUGUGUGCGUGCGUGCGUGCGAGUGGUGUCUCAGGGUGGUGUGUGUGCGUGUGUGUGCGAGUGGUGUCUCAGGGUGUGUGUGUGUGUGUGCGAGUGGUGUCUCAGGGUGUGUGUGCGUGCGAGUGGUGUCUCAGGGGGUGUGUGUGCGUGCGAGUGGUGUCUCAGGGUGUGUGUGCGUGUGUGCGUGCGAGUGGUGUCUCAGGGUGUGCGUGCGAGUGGUUGGUGUCUCAGGGUGUGUGUGUGUGUGUGCGAGUGGUGUCUCAGGGUGUGUGUGUGUGUGUGUGUGUGUGCGAGUGGUGUCUCAGGGUGUGUGUGCGUGCGUGCGAGUGGUGUCUCAGGGUGUGUGUGUGUGCGUGCGAG
ensembl:lncRNA